rnacentral:rRNA from 1 species
GAUGAACGCUGGCGGCGUGCCUAAUACAUGCAAGUCGAACGAGGUCUUCGGACCUAGUGGCGAACGGGUGAGUAACACGUUGGUACCAACCCCGAAGUGGGGAAUAACUGCCCGAAAGGGUGGCUAAUACCGCAUAAUACCGCAAGGUUAAAGCAGUAAUGCGCUUCGGGAGGGGCCUGCGUCCCAUUAGCUAGUUGGUAGGGUAAUGGCCUACCAAGACGACGAUGGGUAGCUGGAUCGAGAGGUUGACCAGCCACACUGGGACUGAGAUACGGCCCAGACUCCUACGGGAGGCAGCAGUAAGGAAUCUUCCACAACGGACGAAAGUCUGAUGGAGCAACGCCGCGUGCAGGAUGACGGCCUUCGGGUUGUAAACUGCUUUUAUACGGGAAGAUUAUGACGGUACCGUAUGAAUAAGGACCGGCUAACUACGUGCCAGCAGCCGCCGCAG